rnacentral:rRNA from 1 species
CGAGCACCUGCGGUAAUUCCGGCUCCAAGAGCGUAUGUUUAAGUUUUUGCAGUUAAAAAGCUCGUAGUUGGAUUUCGGGCGGGUGACGGCGGUCCGGCUCUGGUGUGCACUGCUGCUCAUCCGCCUUACUGUCGGGGACGGGCUCCUGGGCUUCACUGUCCGGGACCCGGGUUCGACAUGGUUACUUUGCGUAAAUUAGAGUGUUCAAAGCGGCGUUCGCCCUGAAUACAUUAGCAUGGAAUAGCACGAUAGGACUCUGGCCUAUUCUGCUGGUCUGUAGGACCGGAGUAAUGAUUAAGAGGGACAGUCGGGGGCAUUCGUAUUUCAUUGUCAGAGGUGAAAUUCUUGGAUUUAUGAAAGACGAACUUCUGCGAAAGCAUUUGCCAAGGAUGUUUUCAUUGAUCAAGAACGAAAGU